UACGGAGGGUGCAAGCGUUAAUCGGAAUUACUGGGCGUAAAGCGCGCGUAGGUGGCUUGAUAAGCCGGUUGUGAAAGCCCCGGGCUCAACCUGGGAACGGCAUCCGGAACUGUCAGGCUAGAGUGCAGGAGAGGAAGGUAGAAUUCCCGGUGUAGCGGUGAAAUGCGUAGAGAUCGGGAGGAAUACCAGUGGCGAAGGCGGCCUUCUGGACUGACACUGACACUGAGGUGCGAAAGCGUGGGUAGCAAACAGG
rnacentral:rRNA from 3 species